GGGCCCAUAGCUCAGGUGGUCAGAGCGGCUGACUCAUAAUCAGCUGGUCCCAGGUUCGAGUCCUGGUGGGCCCACCA
rnacentral:tRNA from 6 species